rnacentral:lncRNA from 1 species
GUCUGACUGUCUGUCUGGAGGUAGGACCAACAAGGGGGAGUGCUACAAAUGCAAGUUAACUGGCCACUGGGCCCGAGGUCGCCAUAAAGAGCGCCCCUGGGCCAUACCCAGCCUGCAAAGAAACAGGUCAUUAAAAGAGGGACUGCCCCAGUUUCAAAGGGAAGGGGGAGGCUCCUGUUCCCAAGAUCUCCAUGCUGGAUGACUGAGGCAAACAAAGGAGUCUUGUGGCUCCCAUCCAAUGAGACAUCUAUCUGGAUUGAGGAGCCCUGGGUAGUCCUUGACAUGGCAGCUGCCUGGGCUCCACCCCCUGCUCUCUGUCCCUUCCAUUCAGCUUCCAGUUUCUGCCUUGAAUGGGCUCACUCGGGUAUGUUUUCCCCUCCACUUCCACCACCAACAAGCUACCUCUCAAUGUGUCUCCCAGUCUAACCCCCACCAAGAGGAAGACUGGGAAUCAGUGUUACUAUGAAGGAAGACUCUGACUUCACCCCUCCUCAGAAGCCCCCAGACACCCUGAAGUUAGACGUCCAACUGAUACAUCACAGUGGCCAAGACCACAGUCAGUUGGUGAUCCUUAAUCCAGGAAAUGGACCUAGACUCAUUAAGUUCAGAAGCGGUAUGGCUUCAGUAAACUUUUGUCAGUUGUUCUUAGAACCUAACCCAUCUACAAGGCAUGUGAGUGUCUUCAAGAUCUGUUCUUUGCCUACCUUUACUGCUAAGAUUAUCUCUAGCCUCAUACUUUGUGUAUGGAAAAAUUCCAAACUUAUAGAAGAAUCAAACAAGUAUCACAAUAUACAUGUACC